GGAAUUGUUCGCAAUGGGCGCAAGCCUGACGACGCAACGCCGCGUGGAGGAUGAAGACCUUCGGGUCGUAAACUCCUUUCGACCGAGAUGAAUUCCCGUCGACCCAAUACGUCGACGGGGUGACAGUAUCGAGGGCAGCAGCCCCGGCUAACUCCGUGCCAGCCGCCGCGGUAAUACGGGGGGGGCAAGCGUUGUUCGGAAUUACUGGGCGUAAAGGGUUCGUAGGUGGCCAACUAAGUCAGACGUGAAAUCCCUCGGCUCAACCGGGGAACUGCGUCUGAGACUGGAUGGCUUGAGUGCAGGAGAGGAACGCGGAAUUCCAGGUGUAGCGGUGAAAUGCGUAGAUAUCUGGAGGAACACCGGUGGCGAAGGCGGCGUUCUGGACUGCUACUGACACUGAGGAACGAAAGCCAGGGGAGCAAA
rnacentral:rRNA from 1 species